UCUGUUUCGCCUGAAAUCCAUCUUUAGUCUAGGCCUGCUUCUUCAUUCUUGUUAACUAUGGCGAUUUGGUGGUUCAAGAAAAAAAGAAUUGUGCAUCCAAUUCAGGAAGAUUUCUUCAGUGAAGAGGACUGGAACAGAUUCCGAAGAAUGAUUCUGAGGCGCACCAUUAACAACAGAAGACGUACCACGUCGCGCAGAAUCAAAGUCGAGCCGAAACUCUCCAGAUUUUGGCUUGAAUCCCGGGGACGAUUGCCACCAGUCCAACCUGUGCCGGUUGUUGAGUACAAAUUCUAUUCAAGGGCAGUGUGUUCAGGCCUGAGCUCCAUUUUUUGUGUAUGCUAUUCAUCUAUUGGAGGUUAAUUGCACACACUCUGCACCUUUUGAACCCCAAGUCCAUGUGAUGGUUAAGUGCUGCGAUUGUCAUAUUUGUUGUCAUGGGUGAAGUGGAAUCUGCCCUGCUUUAUAUGCCCGCUACAGUCUGAAGAAGGCUUUUGUUUUAGAUUGGAAGUUUGGUGCCUUGUGUGGGAUAUCUAGUUGAUAAUAUGGAUCAAGAAAUUGGCGAGGGACAAAGAAAACAAUAACAAGGGCAGGUGAAGGCUCCUCUCGCCAUUGCUGAGAAUGGGUGUACGUGAGUUGGUCUUUUGGACCCUCACUAGACUGAAAUAGGGUGAGUCCUUGUUUUAGUCCGAAAGGGAUGCAUGCUGAAACAGCCAUCUGCAUGAGACUACGGUCUAACCAAAAACGAAUAAGGCAACUUUCUUACAUGCAUUGCUGACGGGCUAAACUAGGAAAAUACACCAUAUAUUUUUCAGCACUCAUAGAUUGCAGUUCCCAGGUGCUAGUGGGUGAGCCAGUUAGAUUCUCACUGGUAUCUCUAAUUACUUGAGGACCAUAUUUCUACUACCAAUAACUUGGUUGCUUCUACUGAAGGUCGACGACGGAGGCCUUUGAAAGACUUCUUCAAAAUAUCCAUUCUUCAAUCGCAGCUGGGGUAGGUGAUACCUAAUUCAUGUCAUAUUUUAUACUUGAGCAGUGCUCUUUCAUUGGACUUGAUCCUCUUUUGCCCCUAACACAUUCCGAAGAUAGAAAACUAGCUACAUUUCAGUUGAUUAGGUCUGAACCAGUGCCCUUCUUUGGAAUAUCUGGGAUUCUGAAAGUUUUGAAGGAGCUAUCACUGAUUCAGUUCGUCUUUUCAAACCAAAAUAUAAAGGCUUGUUUCAAAUUCUUCAAUCUUUAAUUCAACUCUUUAAGGUGACUUAGUGUGACUUAAUGGUAAGGUGACUUGUCUAUGAUCAAAAGUGAUGACAGGUCAUACUGAUCCUACCUAGAGAAAGAAAAACAAAGUUUUAACUCCGCCUGUGUUUGGAUUCUUCCAUUUCGCAGCCGGUCCCAAGCCCGGAAAAAGGAGGAGGGUUAAUUGUCUUUCAGAAGUCGGAUCUUCAUAAAUAUGAACGAUAGAAAACCUGUAAUAGUUGUGGUUCUCUGUCUCAUAUUCUCUCUCUCUUGUAGGUAAUAGUUGUGAUUCUCUGUCUCGCAGACUCUGUCUCUGUCUCUUGUAGAUUUGCUUGCACGUACAUAUUCCCAUUGUGUAGAGUCUUUCUCUUGUCAGCAUAUCCACUUCUCUCACUUUUUCUGUCAAAAUGUCCUUUUAUACUGAAAUCUGUUCAAAAUGAUAACAUUUUCUUGGCUUCUGCUUGUGUACAAUAAUGUUUGCUAUAUCUGCUCAUGACAUGUUUUUGAUUCCCUUUUCUAUUGACUGCAUGUGUGAUGUUAGGGUUUUUCUAUUCUGGAAACAGAAAAACUUUCAGCUUCAGUAGAGUUUUGAGAGUUGUGACUUUGAAGAAACCUUUUAUUCUUUUAAUUAUUGACAAAGUCAUUUGAUAUAGAAUAUGACAUGAUGAUUCUGUUUCAAAUAUCAAGUUGUCCACAUAAGAAGAAGAAUAUCCCCCAAACAUCAUUAUGAAAAAACUCAACCUUGGUGUACUGUGAAGUCUUCCAACUGGCUUAGAUCCAAUGUUGCUAUAGGUUAGUGACAUAUACAAAGAAUGUUAAUUAUAUUGCAUAAAAGAGCCAUUUUGUAUCAUGAAGAUAAGUUCAACAAGAUAUAAUAAAAAUAACAUAAGGACCAGCCCAGAAGUGGCCAGCCUAAUAGAAAAAGGAGACAAAAUAGAACCAAAAUAAUACACUCUGAAACAUCUGAAUAUAGUGAAUAAAACAUUUGGCAGAUGAUACCAAGGGUUCUGUAAGCAUCUGCAGUCAUUCCAAGUCUGAUCUUUGCUAGCUGAGCUGAUAUUUUCCUUUGGCUGAUUCCCGAGUCAUUGAUCCUACCCACUAUUGUCUCUCGCUCGAGCUUAUAUUGUGUUUGUUCUUCAAUGUGAACACUGAAAUUCCAUUCCGCCAUGAGGCUGGUGAGUUCAUCCUAUUGAAGAUGUUGUGUUCAUACAUAUCCUUGAACUGCUUUUCUUCAUUUCUUGGCUUCUCGAAUUUCUUUUUACAAAUCCCAAUGAGAAGAACUAUAAUUUUGGUAGGGAUGUUUCUGCGACUGGGUAAUCCGUAUCCUUCGAUGGUGUUUGAGCAUGAUGUCUCCAAUCUUCUUUUGCUGUAUGUUACUUGAAAUAACUCUUCCUCUUAUUCUAAUUUGUGACUCCGUGAUUCUGUCCUCAUGUGUUGACAGAGGAUUGGUUUUUUGAGCUUUUUUCAAAUUUGUUAAAUAUGUGCAGAGCUUGUAAAUAUGUGACCUGAAUCAUGAAAUAAACACUGCUUCUUCUUCCCCACACAUGAUAUAAGGCUUAAUCUUUUUGGUCCUGAUGCGAAGAUAAGUAACUUCUUGUUUGUCUAAAUUAAGAAUCCUCUUCGCUUGACUUGGUAGAUCUGAAAAAUUAUGAUCUCAUACCUGCCAGUAGUGUCAAAAGCCAUGUUUGGUAAAUAAUCUGCAAGCAUAUUUCCUUUCUCUGUAAGUGUGUCUAAUUUGAAUACGACACAAUUGAGAUGCAUCCAUUAUGUCUCCAAUAAUGACUGAAGUGUUCCAAGGGAUCACCCAAACUUUAGUAAGGAUCUUUAUUCAGAUUAAAGAAUCUGUUUCCAAACAGACUUGGUUCAUCCCAACAGUAAUACAGUGAGUGAUUGCCUCCCUUAUAGCUAUAGCUUCUGCUCUAAGUUCGUACUUUCCUGAAUCUCUUCACCUUGAGCAUAGACUAAGUCUCCUGUACAUUCUCUUAAGCAGAAACCAUAAGUGCUUCUUCCCGGAUUUCCCUUGAUGCACCAUCGAUGUUGCAUUUCACUAGACGUCCUUUUUGAGGUUUCCAGCUGACUGCAAUAUAAUGAACCCUUGGAGUGUGCUUUUCCAGAAAAUCUAUGAUAUUAGGCCAAGUUGUAGGAAUCUUUAGUCCAGCAUAGGUGGUUCUCCCAUGUCUCCAUAAAUCUGAAUUUACUUUAGAAACCAGACUGUUAUAAGAAGAACUCCUAUUUCUCCUUUUCUAGAGGUUCCAUAUCACAAUAGCUGGGACAACUCCCAAUAGUGGCUUUAAUUUUGAACAGCAAUCUGAUGUCCACCAUUUAUUGCAAACUUGUGAAAGUUGUAAGCCCUCUAUUUGAAUCCCUGCGAAAUCAGCAAACAACCUCCAUAGCUUAGUAGCUAUGGAGGAGGUUAGAAAGAGAUGAGACAUAGUCUCAGUUUUAGGCCUAGUGCAAGCAUUUUGAAGCUAUAUUGACUCCGGUGUGUUGUAGGACAUCAUCCACUGGACCCCUAAAUUUCCAAGCUCUCCAUAGGAAAAAAGACAUUCUAAAAGGAAGCUUUUUUCCCACAUGAGUUCAAAAAUGUCUUCUUUCUCCUUCUUUUGUCUAAUGUACUCCCAUGCACUCCUUAAUGUGAAUCUUCCACUGUGCUCAAGCAUCCAUAUUGGUUUAUCCAAACUAUUUGUAGUCUUUGGUGCUGGAAUGGUUCUCAGAAUGUGCUGGACAAUGUCUUCAGUAAUAUUAUCUCUCAAUCUUUAUAUCCAUCCCUCAUUAUCUGCAAAAUUAUUAACUUCAAUCUUCUCUUCCUUUGCUUCUGGUAUAAUAUGAUAUAAAACACCCAAAGAAGUCCAGUUGUCAAACAAAAACUUGCAGCUCCCAUUCUAAUCUGCCAUAAGAUUUGGUGCUCUAUAAGUUCCCUUACUGUAACUAAUUUCUUCCAGACUGGAGAAGCACCCCUGCUAUGAGCAAUUACUAGAUGAUACUUUUUACUGUAUUUAUUGAUCAUAAAAGCACCCCACAGAGAAGGCUUACUUCUCAAAUUCCUCCAUAGCUCAAACAAAAAAGCUUUAGAAACAUCAAAAAUAGAUCUAAAACCAAUCCCCCCUUCAGACUUUGGUAGACAAGAAGGAUCCCAUUUCAACUAAUGCCUGCUUUUCUUUUCAGUAGUGUUAUUCCUAAAGAAUUUCGCAGAAAUACCAUGAAUCUUCCUUAUAACUCCUAAGGGGGGAUGAAGAGCUGAAAGUAAGUGAAUGGGCAUGCCUUGUAACGUAUGAUUAAUAUGCACAACUCUCCCUCCAUAAGAUAAAAGUUUUCCUUUCCAACUCUGUACCCUAUUCACAAUCUUUUUAAUCAGUUUUCUUUGAAGAUCGAGGAAUGUAGUGUCGGACAAUUAUGCCAUUCGAAAGAAGUCUUCUACAGAGGAAAAGCAUGUUACGAGUAAGUGGAGAGGAAAGAUCUCCAGAGAUUCUUAUCUCAUUCCAUUCCAGUGGCUCAACUAGUAACCGAUGGCGAAAAACCGGUAACUCAAACAUCCAUGGUUCUACCUGGGGUCAUGAAAACAAAUUUCAUUUUUUGAUGAAGAAAAAAACAAAUUUUAUUUUUUGAUGAAGAAAAAAACAAAUUUUAUUUCUUCCAUACAAAAUUGGGCAUCCUAAGCAAGUAAAAGGAAAAGUAUCUUGCUUGAUUUGAGUGACCUUUUUUUAUCAUGGCCACAAUUCCUGGAUUCUUUUUCAUGAACAUAAAAGUCACUCUUACUCAAAUUAAUCAUUUGUCCUGAUGCUGACUCAUACUUAUUCAGUACUUUAUUCAUAAGCUUUGUGGACUUCUUCUCUGCUGAUACAAAAGGUAUUGUGUCAUCUGCAUAAGCUAAAUGAUUAAUAGUUGUACUCCAUUUAGGGAGGCCAAAACCCUUAAACUUCUCAUGUCUAUUCAAUGCAUUAAGUCCCCUGGAAAGGGCUUCAGCAGCAAUUACGAAAAGGGUAGGAGACAAAGGGUCUCCUUGUUGAUUUGGAAAAACCCUGAGCUUGGCCAUUCACAAGAACGAAUACCAAUUGUUGGCUAGUAAUAUGUAGAUCAUGCCAAUCAAAAUUCUGAGGAUCAAAACUUUCUUAAGACCUUUGUUAGGAACAAUUAUGACAGUCUAUCAUAAGCUUUUGUCAUAUCCAAUUUGACUACCAAAUUAGCAGAUUUGUUCCUAAUCCUUAUGUCUCUGACGAUCUCUUGAGUUAGUAGAAUAUUCUCGACAAUACUCCUUCCUUUGAUGAAACCUGUUUGAUUUGCUGAAAUCAACUCGGGCAAUAACAAAAUCAUUCUUCCAUGCACAACUCUAGGAAUCACUUUGUUAAUGAAGUUGCUAAGGCUGAUGGGUCUGACAUUAUUGAAGGUCUAGAUGUUAUCUUUCUUAGGUAUCAGAACCUGAUUUGUAUGAGUAACAGAUCUGGAUGAUUCCUGUCCCCCCCCCCCCCUUAAGAGCAUGCACAACUAUGAUAUCCUCCUUAAUAAUUUCCCAAGCCGAUUGACAAAAAAGACCCAUAAAACCAUCUGGUUCACUAGAACUUUCUCCACUUGGAUAAAAAACUGCUGCUUUAACUUCUGCCUCAUCAGGUGAUCUAUUCAUGUUCUCAUUCUGUUCUGCAUUAAUCAACUUUGGAAUGUUUUCUAAUAGUUCAAAGUCCUCAGGGAAACUAUCCUCGGUGAAUUGAUUUUGAAAAAACUUCACUGUUUCAUUGGCCACCUCUGUCUGUUCUUCCACCCAUACUGUGUCUGAAUUUUGGAUCCUGUACAGCUGCAAUCUCUUUCUUCUUCCAUUCACAUAAGCAUGAAAGAACUUGGAAUUUCUUUCCCCUUAUUCAAACCACUUCAUGCCUGCUUUCUAUCUCCAAAAUUCCUCCUCCAAAUGCAAGUAUGUAGCUAAGUCAGCUUGGAUUUAUGAAGGCUUUCUCUGUUCUGCUGAGAUGGAUUUAAUUCAAACUGCCUCUCUUAAAUCUGAAUAAUCUCUUCCAAAGUAGUAAACUUUUUGAAAGAUAUUUCCACAAGUUCCCUCACUCCAUUUAGAUAAAGCUCCUUUCAAUUUUUUCAGCUUAUGAUGCCAAUAUCUGGAAAGAAUUCCCUUCAAAAUCAGUCACCCAAUUGUUCCUUCCCACUUCCAAAAAUUCAUCGUGUUUAACUCAGAAGUUCAAAAACUUGAAGGGUUUUUAAAUCACUUCAGUACUUUGAGGACAUUGAACCUCCAAAGGCGAAUGAUCAGAACCCUUUUGAUGAGAUGUUUCACUUGAAUGUUGGGGUACUCAUCCAUUAUUUCUUGAUUACUUAGAACUCUGUCCAGCCUUUUGAAAAUGCAUGCUUUAUCUGUCCUACCAUUCCACCAGGUGAAGGUGCCACCAUUAUAACCCAUAUCAUAGAAAUCACAUUCAUUGAGACAAUUGGAAAAGUCUUCUGUUUCUUGAUAUAUAACUGGUAGACCCCCCAGCUUUUUUUCUCUAGAUAAAAUUGUAUUAAAAUCUACUCCUACUAGCCAGGGAAGUGGAUGAUGUUCAGCACUAUUUGCUAAAGAGGGCCCAAAGAUCCCUACUCGUGCUAAUGUUGCAAGCAGCAUAAACUAAACAAUCGAAAUUUCUUUCCUCCAAUUCUAAUGAUUAACUUGACUAGUAAGAUGUUGGGUUGAAUCCACUAGAAUAUCAACAUGCAAUUCUUCUCUUGCAAACAACCAUAUCUCCUGUACAAUUUGCAACCGAAGCGUUAUGCCUCAGAAUCCUUCUGGAGUUUUCGAUGUUUGAUGAAUCUUGAAAAGGUUCCAUCAAACCUAUAAGCCAAUACUUGUUUUCUUCUAUAAUCUAUCAAAGCACGUUGAGUAUUUGACUGAUCUAAUAUUCCAAAACAACAUUUUAGUCAUCAUAUUUAUUGAACUUCUUUGAGGCAGCAAGUCUCUGAGAUAAUGGUCUGAUAGGAGCUGUUUGUUCCUGUACUUCUUUCCAUCCUUUCUGAUUGGUUUUACUUCCUUUAAUAGAUUAACUUGUUUUGGAGAUAGAUCAGCAGCCCUUGGCCCCUUGAUAUCUGUUUUAUAUUAUUGGUGAUUGCCUCCAUAUAAACUUCACCUCCUUGCUAUCCUUCUGAAUAUUCUUUCCAAAUGAUGAUUCUAUCCACUCUUUGCAAGAUAUCGAUGGUACAAACUCUGGAUCUUUCUCCUUGGGUUCCUGUAUUUGUUUAUUCAAAACCUCAAAAAGAAUUUGUAGUUUGAGUGGCUAUUUCCUUUUCUACUUGAUCCCUUCUUCCUUUGUUUGGGAUGAACACUCGCAUGUCCUUCGUUGCAUUCCAUACUUGUCUUGAUUGAUUUCUCUUAUGUCUUCCUUUCCCUUUAAUGAACUCUUUUUUCUUUGCUUCAUUGUUAUAAUUAUUAUCUUGAUUCUGAUUUUGAGGCUUCACUGCCUUACCACUCAAUAAUGUUUUGAUUCAUCCUCUAAUGAUUUUUAAUGGUGUGUUGUAUCUCUUCCGUGCAUUCCUCAUCCUCAAUUACUUGUUCUAACUCAGGGUGAAGAACAUAACAUUCUGUCUCUUUAUGCCCUAGGAGUUUGCAGGAUUUGCAGUAUUUUUGCAUAUAGUCGUAUCUUAUGAUAAUUCACUUUGAAACUGCUUCUCCAGUGUUGGCUUUUUUUAUUCCAACAUUAAUUCGUUGGCACAACUAGGUCUAGAAUCUAGAUUUGUUCUUAGUAGCCAUAUCCACAUGUAAUGGCUUACCCACUGCUUUGCCAUCGUGAAGAGAGAUUCUGCCACAAAAAAAUCGAGGGAUAAUGUAGGAAAAGACACCCAUGCUAGUGCAGUGGUUGUUUCUGCCUCUGGAUUGAAUCAUGGCUUCCAUAUAAUGCUCUCAUCUGAUAAUAUCGAUCUUUUGCCCUUAGAAAGUAAGCAGGUUUUGACAUAAGGUGCACAUAAUUUUCCAAGGUAGUGAGGCGAAUUAGCUCAUGCCUUUCCCUCAAGAAACCUAUUUUACACUCUGCUUUAAUCUCACAUUGAAUAGGCAAAAUUCUACAAAUUUCCUCCAACUCUGACCAACAAUAAGCAAACUUUCCUAUCACUGCAUAUUGUAAAUCUUCUUGAAUGAUCAUAUUAUCCAUAUCUUCUUCCCAUAACACUGUAGGUUCUCCGUGAACAUAUAUUAGGUCUUUAAUGGGGAUAGGGUUAGAAGGUUUUGCGUCUUCAGAGGUUAAGGAUUUUAAAUAUGAAUGUUGUAAGGAUUGUAUAGCAUUGGAGGAGGCUCUCCACCAGGAAGGGGUGGCUAGCCAUUGUUGGCAGAGGCCAUAACACCGGCCGGUGAAAUUAGGCAGUAUUAGUGUUCGGCUUCCAGAGAGAAUUUUUGUUAAAAUUAAAGCAGAACUGGUCUUUCUGUGCCUCAUUAUAUUCACAACAUAAAUUUAAAUUUUUUGGUGAAAAUUUUGGAAUCAUGCAUGAAGUUCACCAUUUCUCACAAAAAAAAUCUGAUUGUUAUCAUAUUACUAGACUUUGUAUGAAGAAGAUGGAGCAAGGAAAGUUGCCUUAGGACUAGGGCCAGCAGCAUUCCAGCAGAGCUAUAAGUAGAUGUGUGAGUUCAACAAAUAAUGCAAUUCAACAGCAAGCUAUAUCUAUUAUAAGUAUUCCAAAUGCGUAAGCAAGGAGGAAGGACUAGUUUUUCUGGACAAGUGUGGUGCAAAUUUUAGGAAAUGAAAAUGCAGCUGGUGAUUACAAAUAUUAAUUAUUGUGGAAUUGACAUCUAAUUACUAUAAGAUGUAAUCACAAGUGUUUAAUAUAUAGUUUUAGUGCUUUUUUGUUUUGUUUUAAUCAUAAAAUAUUGUACUUUUCAGUUCCCAUUUUUUAAUGAAGAAUUUUUUUUUAUGA